GGCGACCUGGGUAACGGAUGUCAGUGAAUUCUCGCUCUGGUCCGUCGAGGGAUACCCCUAUCCGUUCCCGGGAGAGCUGGACCUCUUCCUCAAUCAGAAAUUGUUUGUCUGAGUAAAGUAUUAAAACGUGGUGUCAUCAGCGAACUUAAAUAUGACAUCGGAGCUGUGCUUCACCUCACAGUCGUAAGUGUAAAGUGAGUAGAGCAGGGGGCCGAGCACAGAGACUUGUGACGCAUCUGUGGUGAUGGAGCCAAUCCACUCUGACUGGGAUCUGCAAUUGGGAAACAAUUAAAACGGAAUGGGACUGUAUGCACUUCAUGGUCACUCUGUACUGACUGACUAAAAUUUCCAACAGCUAGUGAUUUAACGGCUGAUGGGCUGAAAUAAGAAGGAAGUUAUUGACUUAUCAUUAGCUGUUCUGUAAGCUGUAAUGACAAUCAAUGCUAAA